rnacentral:rRNA from 1 species
UACGGGGGGGGCAAGCGUUGUUCGGAAUUACUAGGCGUAAAGGGCUCGUAGGCGGCCAACUAAGUCGGACGUGAAAUCCCUCGGCUUAACCGAGGAACUGCGUCCGAUACUGGAUGGCUUGAGUUUGGGAGAGGGAUGCGGAAUUCCAGGUGUAGCGGUGAAAUGCGUAGAUAUCUGGAGGAACACCGGUGGCGUAGGCGGCAUCCUGGACAAACACUGACGCUGAGUGAGCGAAAGCCAGGGGAGCAAACGGG